UAGAUUUGACAUGCUGGGAAAAGCCGUAGAGAUUACGGUGUCCUUCGGGGCUCAGCAC
rnacentral:rRNA from 1 species